AACGAACGCUGGCGGCAUGCCUAACACAUGCAAGUCGAACGAAACCUGCGGGCCUAGUUGUGCACGGGGGGGUGACGCGGGGGGACCUGCCCUUAGGUUCGCAAGAACGUGCCGAAAGAGGUCCUAAUACAGGAGAAUGUACUCCGACCAAAGAGCUAUCGCUUCUGGAUGGGCGUGGGUUAGAUUAGCUUGUGGGGAGGGUAGAAGCCUGUCAAGGGUAGGAUCCAUAGCUGGUCGGAGAGGAUGAUCAGCCACACUGGGAAUGAGACACGGCCGAGAAUCCUACGGGAGGCAGGGGUGGGGAAUAUUGCACCCUGGGCGAAAGUCUGAUGCAGCAAUGCGGGGUGUGUAGUGAAGGACUUAGGGUAGUAAAGUAAUUUUACACGUUACGAUAAUGACGGUACCGGGAGAAUAAGCACCGGCUAACUACGUG
rnacentral:rRNA from 1 species